rnacentral:piRNA from 1 species
UGGUAUGUUAAGUGCGCCAAGGUCUCCC